AUUGAACGCUAGCGGCAGGCCUAACACAUGCAAGUCGAACGAGUGGCGGACGGGUGAGUAAUGUCUGGGAAACUGCCUGAUGGAGGGGGAUAACUACUGGAAACGGUAGCUAAUACCGCAUACCAUCAGAUGUGCCCAGAUGGGAUUAGCUAGUUGGUGGGGUAACGGCUCACCAAGGCGACGAUCCCUAGCUGGUCUGAGAGGAUGACCAGCCACACUGGAACUGAGACACGGGCCAGACUCCUACGGGAGGCAGCAGUGGGGAAUAUUGGACAAUGGGCGCAAGCCUGAUGCAGCCAUGCCGCGUGUAUGAUGAAGGCCUUCGGGUUUUAAAGUACUUUCAGCAGGGAGGCGGUAUCUGCAGAAGAAGCACCGGCUAACUCCGUGCCAGCAGCCGCGGUAAUUC
rnacentral:rRNA from 1 species